rnacentral:rRNA from 1 species
UACGUAGGGUGCAAGCGUUAAUCGGAAUUACUGGGCGUAAAGCGUGCGCAGGCGGUGAUGUAAGACAGGUGUGAAAUCCCCGGGCUUAACCUGGGAACUGCAUUUGUGACUGCAUCGCUGGAGUGCGGCAGAGGGGGAUGGAAUUCCGCGUGUAGCAGUGAAAUGCGUAGAUAUGCGGAGGAACACCGAUGGCGAAGGGCAAUCCCCUGGGCCUGCACUGACGCUCAUGCAC